rfam:Thorarchaeota archaeon SMTZ1-45 WOR1_30_36_1897, whole genome shotgun sequence.
CCUGCGGAGGUUUACUACGCAGUCUGUCGUUGCUCGGCUGGUGCCGACGCAGAGCGUAGUCAGGAGCGUUGAAGUACAUUCUCCGGGAUGUGUGGAUGCAAAAUUGUAACACUGACCGUUUGUGCUGACCGAGCUAACCUAGACCAAGCGAGUCUAGGGACACCGGCAGAUAGGCAGUUGGGCUGGGGCGGCACACGGCUGACAAGAGAUCAGCCGUGACCAAUGCUGAGCUCAGAGGCGACGGAAACGUCUCGUUGAGAUUAAGGGCAUAAGCUCGGCUGACAGGAUCCCGAAAAGCAACGGAUCCUGGGUAGAAAUACUGGCCUAGCGAACCUCAAUAUUGCCAAUUGCAAGUGAUUGAGAUGACAAAAAACUUACCCCAGGGGUAAUCUCUAGCCGGUCGUCAAAAGGCGAGUAUAAUAAAUACAUCAUUGCCGUUUAAUGAGUGGAGAAAAUGGAACGCUGGCGAAUAUCAGAAGAUGAGGAUUUGGAGAAAGAGAAUCUGAAGAAGCCAGAAUCUCUGAAUCGAAGGUACAUUGAACAAUUGUUCGAGGGUACAGAUCGCAUCGCUGAAACAAUGCUAGCUAGCGUAAACAUAGCCUAUCUCGCAGGCAUUACUGAAGAUGCCCACCUUGGCCAAGGUGGAAAAGAAGGAUAUGUCUUUGACAUCGAAUCUAAAUCAGAACGAUGGCUGACUGACAUAGUUAUGCCUGCACUCAAACUUGAGCUUUCUGAGGAAAAGGAAGUUAAAGUCACACGACGUGGUACCAGACCUGAAUAUCGUAUUCAGGUGUGGGAUAAAGAUCUCGUUGAAACCCUUCGAGUACUAUUCGAAAGGCCUGGAAUAGUCCGAUUAUGGAGUAUUCGAAAACAACGAGCAUGGGUUCGAGGACUUGCUGAUGCAGAAGGAUCAGCAACUCGGAACACAGACAAACAACCACAGUUCAGUUUCUACAACAAAGACUUUGAAAAACUCAAGAUUGCAGGCGAAAUCCUUGAGAAAGAUGGUGUCCACUUUGGCUUCUACCUACCACAAGGUAGAGAUGUGUGGCAAAUGUAUCUAACAGGUCGCGAGAAUCUAAAGCGUUUCCUUGAUGGGGAAGCUUCUGGGGUGAGCCAUCCAGAGAAACGUUCACGCUUACUUCAAUACCUUGCCGAGUAGCGCCGACUAGGGACCCUAAACAGAGUUGUCGCGCGCAAGAGUUCAUAUCGACCGCGCGGCUUGCUUCCUCGAUGUCGGCUCUUGGUAUCCUCGGGUUGCAUAAGGCCCGAAGGGUGCGGGUGCUCACCGAUUAAAACCGAACGUGAGCUGGGUUUAGACCGUUGCGAGACAGGUUGGUUUCUAUCUAUUGGUACUGUUGGAUGUCUGCGCUGAAUGCAUCUAAGCGUGAAGCCAGACUCAAAAAUAGACAUCCACUUGCUAGACGAUCUGUAACAGACGAUGGGACUGGCGACAGUAACGUCGAAGUCUAGGAACGAGGACUCUCGUAGAAGACGAGGUAAAUAGGGCGGGGGUGUAAGCACCGAGCUUCGGCGAGGUGUUCAGCUCACCGCUACUAAUGUCCGAGGCGUGCAGAUC